AAGCUCUGGCACUUCUCAGGACUAAAGUCUCUCUCCGUUGGAAUGAAUUUUGCAAGGGAAAUCCCUGUGCCUGCCCGAAGCCCUGCACCUGUCACCUGCAGUGAUUUGGUUCUCCCCACCCACCCAGACCUUUCCUCCAGUCACUGGACCUGAGCAGCCCCUUCCUCUGCCACCUGGGGAGGAGGAAGGAAGGCUCUUCCACUCCUUUCAACGGUUUCAGCACUCACUCUGUCAUGUGUGUCUCAAGUCCUGACUCCACAAAACAAAGCCUCAUCUUUACGCAGUGAGUGAAAGAUGGCCGUGUCACCUUAAGACCCCAAUUGGCACUUUGGAGGGAGGAAUCUAUGCUCUCCAGUCUACAUCCUGACCUCCUCCUGUAAAGCCAGCCCUGCGAAUGUGAAUGUGAAUGCGGGAAUCCUGGCAGCCAGCAGAGCCAGCUGGGAAGACCUUUCUCCAAAGGGGCUUUUUCCUUUGUAAUAUACAUUUAGGUUGGGGCAUGGUGGUGCACCCCCGUAGUACCUGGGAGGCUGGGGGGAAGGAUCAUUUCAACCUAGGAGUUCAAGACCAGCCUGGCCAAGAUAGCAAGAUCCUCCCUCCGACCCAAAACAAAACAGAACAAAUCACCUGGAGGAGUAAGGCGAUUCCGUUUUUUAAAAUAUUUCUUGGCACAAGGAGUCUGAAGGACAGAAAGCAGCCAUGCUUCAAGUUUAUAGGGUUGUUGUUUUGUUCCCUGGUGGAAGUUUUCUCCCUCUGGGAACCCGAUUCUCUGAACCCGGAGAGCCUGGAACUGUAGGAACCAGGAAGCUGUGGUAAGUGGAGUCAUUCCUACUUCUACCUCUGGCUUCCUAAUCCUCCAUAUUCCACACAUUGGCCCAGGGCAUCAUAGUUACUGAUUAGGGUGCAUACUUCAUCCUGGGGUGGGUCCUAUUCCUCUGAAAGGUGCCCCAGGGGCACCUCAGAGCAACUGUCUGAAUGCACUGUCAGCUAUACUAAGCCAGCAGUUUGUGAGUGUGAAGUAUGCAAUAGGUACAGAAGGUCCCAUGACUGUGGGCACGAAUUCUUGCCUAUAAAGUGAGACCCCGUGUCAGGGAGCCAAACACCCCAGCCCCCAGAGAGUGGCCUUUGAGCAGGGGAGAAGUCCAUGGCCACAAUACAGGCCACUUCAAGUCAAGAGGAGCUACUGACCCUCUAGAGUAGAAUGGGUACAGCGUGGUCAACUGGUUAUUGGGUGGCAGGCUGGCCAUCAGUUGGUGGCUGGCUGAACAUCCAGCAGUGACAACAGUGAGAUCAGUCUACAUACAUGUCUACAUGUAGCCUAUGUCUG
rnacentral:lncRNA from 1 species